rnacentral:rRNA from 1 species
AAAACAUGCAAGUCGAACGUGAUUUUCGUAGCAAUACGGGAUGAAAGUGGCGAACGGGUGAGUAACACGUAAGUAAUCUGCCUUCAAGUUUGGGAUAACCCUGCCAACGCGGGGCUAAUACCGGAUGUGGUCCAUUAGACUCAUGUUUAUUGGAUUAAAGGUCGCAAGACCGCUUGGAGAUGAGCUUGCGGCCCAUUAGCUUGUUGGUGAGGUAACGGCUCACCAAGGCUUUGAUGGGUAGCCGGCCUGAGAGGGUGUACGGCCACAUUGGGACUGAGAUACGGCCCAGACUCCUACGGGAGGCAGCAGUANGGAAUUUUGCGCAAUGGACGGAAGUCUGACGCACCAACGCCGCGUGAAGGAUGACUGCCUUCGGGUUGUAAACUUCUGU